rnacentral:lncRNA from 1 species
ACGUACUAUCAUUAUACAAAGGACCCUAUUUUGCUUAAUAAAAUUUCCAUCUUUUUCAUUGUUGGGUCAUAUAUUGAGAGAGAGGAAGGAGAGAUAAACUUUUGGGUCAUUACCCUGGGCUUAUCUGCUCUCUUUCUCUUUCUCUUUCUCUCUCGCGGAACCCCAUCGCCGUUGUCCGUGUUUCACUUUUUCUCAUUCUCUUUUUUUCGUUUCCUCUUGUGGUCUUGCUUGACCACGAUCUCUCUCUUCUAUCCUCCUUGUGGUCCCUCACGACCAUAGCCUUUCGCACUCCUUAUUUGUCGUCCAUCAUGACUACUAUUUUCCUCUUUUCUUUUUCUCUUAUCUCCUUCAGGACUAUUUUCUUCCUGGGCACCCUCGAGCUUACAUGUCCCUUCUUUUUCUGGUAGUCUUAUCUGUUUCCUUUUUUCUUCUUUUUUGGAAUUCACUCGCAUCACCCUUUUUGGUGAACCCUAACGUACCCAUUUUUCCACUCACGUUAUGUGGUCUCCCACUAUUACCAUUCCCUAAGCUCUUUCUUACCUAUCGCCGUGCGCGCAACAAACCCCGACGCCCUCGACAACCGGUCCUCCCCCCUACUACCACCCAACACCGUGUGUGGAAGCAACCACCCACCGCCGUGCGUAAACUCCACACCACAACUGGAGCUGGCUGCAAAUCCCUGCUACACCAUUCCUUUCUCGCUCUCGCUCUCGCUCUCGCUCAGCUGCACCUCAGCCCCUGCUCUUUCGGCUGCCAGCAUCACCGUCCCCACUUCUGCCACUGCUUUCUCUCUCUCUAGCUCUCUGCCCUCAACCAUCUUUCACCACAAUAACCACCCACCUAUUCACGUAACCUUUCCAUCUGCUCUUAACCCAAGAUCUCCCACUCUCCUCCCCAAUUACUGCCAUACUCCAUUCUUGCAAUUCUUUCACCGCUAUUCUCUUCCAUCCUCCGCCUGCAGCCCAUCCGACUCUUCCUCCAUCUCCACUUCUCUCAAUCGCCACAUCCACCACCUGUAAUUUCCUUCACCUUGCUGCUCCGCCAACGACAACUUUCUCACCUCUAUCUCACCGCCCCAUCUAAGCUGCUGCCCCCCACCUCUGUUGAAGCCACCUAUCUGUCACCCAAUUCCACCAUUCUUCGCCCAAUCUCAGUCAUCUCCGCCACCUACCGUUGGCUGUCCCUGUCCCUCUUUUGCUCCCAUCUCAACCUUCACUUCACCCGCAUGAACCAGGCGACACCAUAUCUGCCAUUGCCGCCCUCUUUCUCAGCCUCCUUCCUCUCAGCCUGCUGUUCCAGGCAGAAGCUGAAUCGCCAUCUCUGCCACUCACAGCCUCAGCUCUCCUCACUCCACCGAGUCUUCUCCUCCACCAGCUGCAACCUUCGCUUGACCCCCAUUCUCUCCCUUCCACCUUUACUUGCUGCCCUCUACUCUCCUGUGGUUUCCAUCCCCUGCACUUUCUCUUUGUAGAAACCCACAAGGCAAAAACCCAUGAACGAAACCCACUUUCCCUUUUCUUCUUUUUCGUCUUUUUCCUUUCGUUGUAGGAUUGCGUUAGUUUCGCCUUUUUUUUUCUUUUCGUUGUAGGAAUAUGUUUCACCACUCUCUCACCUUAUUUCAUUCAACCUAACUAAAAGCAAACCCAGCACGCCUUCCUUUCAUUCAUGUAAAACCCGAUACUUUUCCCUCUUUCUCUCUCAUCCAAAUAAACCCCUUCUCCCUUGAUCACCUAAACCUUUGUAUUAUUAUUUUAUUCCACUUAACCUCACCCAUCCUAUUUACCUCACCCUAGUUUAAUUUAAUAUAUUUUAUUUUAUUUUAUUUAUUUUAUUUUAUGUUCCCUCAGCUUAUUUUCAUUUUAUUUAUUUUAUUUACCUCAUUUAUUUUAUUUUAUUUAUCCCUUUUAUUUAUUCCCAUUACCUCAUCUUAUUUUAUUUUAAUUAUUUAUUUUACUUUAUUUCAUUUACCACUCUUAUUUUAUUUACCGAUCUUUUUUUAUUUCAUUUUUUUUAUCCGUUUUAUUUUAUUUUCCUUUACUUCAUUUUUUUUAAUUUAUUGCUUUUAUUUUCUAUUUUAAUCCUAAUUCUAUUUUUUAAUUUUAUUUUAAUUGAUCUCUUUCAUUUUCAUUUAAUCUCAUUUUCUAUCACUCUUAUUUCACCAUCACUCUUAUUUUCACCUUCGUCUCUUUUUGGAAGACCUAGCGAGAGUCAAGCUAGUCUUCACCUCCCCUCUUUCUCUUAUUUACUUCUUUGACGAGAGGGUAGGCUGAACCUUGAGCCAUUAUGCCAGGGUGGUUGGUGUUGAUUCUGUCGUCGAGUAGUACUACUACUAUGCCAGUCUGAGUUACCGUGCCCGUCUUGCUACCAUAUCAAAUCAAUCACCAUAGUGGUCUAGCCACUGUGCCAGCCUAGCCACCCGAUCAAACUUCUUCUCUCACUUUCACUUCACCUUGUAACAAGGUGGGGACCUAUGCCCCACUCGUCUGUACUUUUAAUUGUGUGUGUGUGUUUGCAGGAAAGGAGAAACAAGUCAAGGGAUGCGAUUCCAAACCGGCCAUAGGCCAGGGGGGCUGUCCAACGUGAUCUAAGAGGGUACCCACGCGAGCCAGCCCGAGUGUGUCAUAAACCCAUGUGAGGUAAGUCCUGCCUCACGAGCCCAAUUCCUCCAUCUCUAGUUGGUACUCCUGCCUGCGUCUUCUUUACGUGGUUCUCGAGAGGGCGAUCUCAGGUCCCGUUCCAUCUCGAACCCGGAACCAAGCCAUCAAGUCAAUCCGACCCAGAGGGUGAGAUCGAGGCACCUAACUAGCAAAAGCGAUACUGGGGUCAGUUGUCCUCUUUUCUUCAGAUGCAAGAUCAACGAUGGGGUCAAUCGUCCUAUUCAAGAGCAACGCUAGUUGAUAAUAUAUCCUUGUAACCUCCCUAAUAAUGGGUUUCUGAUUGUAACUUGUAAUUCCUGUUACUGUAAUAAAAGGAAAG